rnacentral:lncRNA from 1 species
AACCACACCCGAUUUUAUUUUAUACAAAACUCGCUCCUUGUUUUGAAAUUCCAUCUUGUCGCCCAAGAAAACAAUAGCGAAUAUCAUUACAAAAUUCAUCAACAUCUUUCAGAUCUUCAUGUUCAAUCUCUGGAUCAUGUUUCCAUUUUGUUAAUCAUCGAAUCUUUACGUGUACUCACCUACGACAUCAAUGACGAGUAUUUGAAGAUGGCGGACAAAACAACACGCGAUACCUUGGAACAAUUUUUGCUACGAAUUUUACGAACAACAUCAUCAAAUUACCAUCUGUUGCUUCAAUUAAAACCCUAACACUCCGACGAUUGAACAUCUCCGCCUUCCUCCGCCGGUUGACAUCUCCGCCGAUCUCAUCUCCGCCGUUCUGAUCUCCAUCGAUUUUCCUCCGCCGAUCUGACAUCUCUGCCGAUCUCCGCCGAUUGAACAUCUCCGCCGAUCUGAAUCAUCGACGUCUCUGCCGCUCUGAAUCAUCGACGUCUUCGCCGGCACUGGAACGAUGGGUUGUAGUGUUAUAUAGAGUUAGAAAAUGGUAAUAUGGUGUUAUAUACCAUUCAUAGUGUUUUAUAGUCAUUCAUAGUGUUAUAAGUCAUUUGUAGUGUUAUAUCUUGUUUAUAGUGUUAUAUAGUUAUUGAAUGGUGUUAUAUAAUUAUUGAAUGGUGUUAUAUAU